rnacentral:lncRNA from 1 species
UCAGGCUAUAGCUCGAUAAAUUGUGCAGUACACUCUAUUUGUUCGGUUCUUCAUUUUCUUAUAAAAGAAAGUAGGGAUGCAACUGAAUUCAACUGAGCUCAAAUAUUAGUAAGUUUUGAGUUGGAGCUUAACUAAAAAUUUUGAGUUGAAUAUUUGAUUCGAGCUCUAUAAAAUAUUUAUUUUUAAAAUCGAGUUUAACUCAAU